rnacentral:piRNA from 1 species
UACUCGCAUAAGGCGGCAUCUACGCCAGA